GAUGAACGCUGGCGGCGUGCCUAAUACAUGCAAGUCGAGCGAACAGACGAGGAUCUUGCUCCUCUGACGUUAGCGGCGGACGGGUGAGUAACACGUGGAGAACCUACCUAUAAGACUGGGAUAACUUCGGGAAACCGGAGCUAAGACCGGAUAAUAUAUUGAACCGCAUGGUUCAAUAGUGAAAGACGGUUUUGCUGUCACUUAUAGAUGGAUCCGCGCCGCAUUAGCUAGUUGGUAAGGUAACGGCUUACCAAGGCAACGAUGCGUAGCCGACCUGAGAGGGUGAUAGGCCACACUGGAACUGAGACACGGUCCAGACUCCUACGGGAGGAAGCAGUAGGGAAUCUUCCGCAAUGGGCGAAAGCAUGACGGAGCAACGCCGCGUGAGUGAUGAAGGUAUUCGGAUCGUAAAACUGUGUUAUUAGGGAAGAAGAAAUGUGUAAGUAACUAUGCACGUAUUGACGGUACCUAAUCAGAAAGCAACGGCUAACUACGUG
rnacentral:rRNA from 1 species